rnacentral:rRNA from 1 species
ACGUAGGGUGCAAGCGUUAAUCGGAAUUACUGGGCGUAAAGCGUGCGCAGGCGGUUAUAUAAGACAGAUGUGAAAUCCCCGGGCUCAACCUGGGAACUGCAUUUGUGACAGUAUAGCUAGAGUACGGCAGAGGGGGAUGGAAUUCCGCGUGUAGCAAUGAACUGCGUAGAUAUGCGCAGUAACACCGAUGGCGGAGGCAAGCCCCUGUGCCUGUACUGACGUUCAUGCACUUAAGCGUGUGGUGUAAACAG